rnacentral:snoRNA from 1 species
CUGUUUAGUGAAUAAAAGAAAUACCGAGGUGUAGUUCCCUUGGCUUUGACCCUGUGCUAGAGUAAUGUCUGUUCUUUUCCUCUGCAUUGAAAGGACUAUUUAUCCUUUUAAAUGUAUUCAGAAAGUCAGCACAUUA